GGGUCAGUAGGUUGGUCGUGCCACCGGUACGUACUGGUCUCACUGGUUCCUCCUUCCUGAAGAACCGUAAUGCCAUUAAUUUGGUGUUGCGGGGAAACAGGACUGUUACUUUGAAAAAAUUAGAGUGUUUAAAGCAAGCUAACGCUUGAAUACAUCAGCAUGGAAUAAUGAAAUAGGACGAUCGAUCCUAUUUUGUUGGUUUCUAGGAUUGACGUA
rnacentral:rRNA from 1 species